UAACAAGGAUUCCCCUAGUAACUGCGAGUGAAGCGGGAAAAGCUCAAAUUUAAAAUCUGGCGGUCUUUGGCUGUCCGAGUUGUAAUCUAGAGAAGCGUCUUCCGCGCUGGACCGUGUAUAAGUUCUUUGGAAUAAGACAUCAUUGAGGGUGAGAAUCCCGUCUUUGACACGGACUACCAGUGCUUUGUGAUGCGCUCUCAAAGAGUCGAGUUGUUUGGGAAUGCAGCUCAAAAUGGGUGGUAAAUUCCAUCUAAAGCUAAAUAUUGGCGAGAGACCGAUAGCGAACAAGUACCGUGAGGGAAAGAUGAAAAGCACUUUGGAAAGAGAGUUAAACAGUACGUGAAAUUGCUGAAAGGGAAACGCUUGAAGUCAGUCGCGUUGUUCAGAACUCAGCCUGGCUUCCGCUUGGUGUAUUUUCUGUUUAACGGGCCAGCAUCAAUUUUGACCAUUGGAAAAAGGCUGGAGGAAUGUGGCAUCUUCGGGUGUGUUAUAGCCUCUGGUUGCAUACAAUGGUUGGGAUUGAGGAUCUCAGCAUGCCUUUUGGCCGGGGUUCGCCCACGUUCAUGCUUAGGAUGCUGGCGUAAUGGCUUUAAACGAC
rnacentral:rRNA from 1 species